CAUUGAUGAUAAUUUACAACUAUCAUCCGCCUGGGAACUACGAGCACCAGCUUAAAACCCAAAGGACUUGGCGGUGCUUUAGACCCACCUAGAGGAGCCUGUUCUAGAACCGAUAACCCCCGUUCAACCUCACCCUUCCUUGUUCUUCCCGCCUAUAUACCACCGUCGUCAGCUUACCCUGUGAAGGACUGAUAGUAAGCAAAACUGGCAAAGCCCAAAACGUCAGGUCGAGGUGUAGCGUAUGGAAGGGGAAGAAAUGGGCUACAUUCACUAAUUCAGUGCAUACGAAUGACACCCUGAAACACGUGUCUGAAGGAGGAUUUAGCAGUAAGCAGAAAAUAGAGUGUUCUACUGAAACUGGCCCUGAAGCGCGC
rnacentral:rRNA from 1 species